rnacentral:tRNA from 1 species
GCCUGGGUGGCUCAGUUGGUUGAGCGUCUGACUUUGGCUCAGGUUGCAGUCUCGUGGUUCGUGGGUUCUAGCCCCACAUUGGGCU